AAUCAACGCUGGCGGCGCGCUUAACACAUGCAAGUCGAGCGAGAACGUCCGAGCAAUCGGGCAAGUACAGCGGCGCACGGGUGAGUAACACGUGGAUAAUCUGCCUUGGAGCGGGGAAUAACUUGGGGAAACCGGAGCUAAAACCGCAUACGCCCGCGAGGGGAAAGCGAGCAAUCGCGCUCUAAGAGGAGUUCGCGGCCGAUUAGCUAGUUGGUAGGGUAACGGCCUACCAAGGCGGGGAUCGGUAGCCGGCCUGAGAGGGCACACGGCCACACUG
rnacentral:rRNA from 1 species